UCCAAACCACCAUCGUUUGGGCACUGGGGCCUGUAAUUUUUUCGGCUGGAGCAAGAUGUAGCUUGUUUGUUUUUCUUACAGGGAACAAAAUGUUUAUACAAGUUCAGUGAAAAAGGCAAAGAUUUUCACAUAUGCAUGGGGAAAGUAGUAGUUUUUCUUUAAGGGAAAAAGAGCAAACUACAAGUUCCCCUGGUCUUGGCAAAUCAUGAGGCGUUUUUCAUUUUGUAACAUCAAAGUCGGCUCCUCUUCUUUGAUGUCUUCGCAUGCUGUUUAAGGACUGCUAUUCAGCCACUGAAUUUCACACAGAGCUGCUUUACGGAGGAAGCAGAGCUAAGACUCAAGCAGCAUGGAAGUUCCUGCCCAAUUACUUGGUAGCUUCUUUCUUUAGUGGAUGAGUACAGAACCUGUCCUGCAGCAUGCUGUACUCACCACAGGGCUGUUUGGGAAAUGACAGGAAGAGCUUCGAUCCAUGGCUGGCAGCUGAACCCUUGGAGCACAAGACACACAGCAUGCAUUGUCAUCCUGAUCGAGGAAGGACAUCACAAUGAGCACUUUAAAGAGGUUUCUUAACAAGAACUUGGGACUGGCCAUCACUCUCUUUUUGGAUUCAACUUCGUCUUGGUUCUCAAGCUAUAUGUUGUUUUGGUAUCGAGUCUCUACAAAUUUCCCCACCUCAUCAACUGGCAGUGGAAUCAGCACUAAUUUUAUUGUGUGUGCUAUCUCACUUCUAUUUAGGGAUCAAAAUUAAUAAAGAAAGAAAGAAAAACUUCUAAAACAACUACUGCCACCUAGUGUCGUAGCAAACUCAGAAAACCCCAGACAGGCAGCUCAAGUUCUUCCCACUAGAAAAAUCCUUGGCGGUAAAUCCCAUUUCCAUUGAUUUCAAUUGGCACUGACUUCCUCAGAUGUUAAUAUUACAGCUUGUGUAGAAAAAGCUAUAUAUUUUCCUUCACUAUAUCCAGGGAAAUAGUUUUACACAGGAUACCUGAGAAUCUGUGUGUGUGCAUUGAUGUGAUGACAGAUAAUUUAAUUGUAUUCUGCAGUUUUACACUAAUGCAGAUGGGGAUACUACUUGGCAGACCGUGGUAGGGUGUGAUAGUGGUGUCAAAAGUGAAGAAAUGUGACCACUGGCUCAUCAUGUGCCAGCUUCAGAAAGCUGUCUCUCAGUAAAACCUUUUAAGAUGUAUUUGCCAUACUGAGAUAAAUAUCACCAUUCAUUAACAUAUUUUAAGGGAUUGUAAUGAGUAUAUUAUACCUCAUUUUCUUACAGUAGAAAAUCCUUAAACUAGAUUUUAGCAGAAGGAAUUUGUGUUGCAGUGUUCUCUUCAGAAUGAUACAACUUCUAAUGAUCCUUUCUGUUGAAUAAAAACUAUUAUGAGAUGAAGCA